rnacentral:rRNA from 1 species
AGAAUUUGAUCGUUGGUUCAGGAUGAACGCUAGCGGCAGGCUUAACACAUGCAAGUCGAGGGGCAACGCGAGUAGCAAUACUUGGCGGCGACCGGCGCAAGGGUGACGUAACGCGUGAGCAACAUGCCCGUAUCAGGGGGAUAAUCCAGGGAAACUUGGUCUAAUACCCCAUAGUAAUUUUGUAAGGCAUCUUAUAAGAUUUAAAGCUUUGGUGGAUACGGAUUGGCUCGCGUGACAUUAGCUGGAUGGUAAGGUAACGGCUUACCAUGGCUAUGAUGUCUAGGGGUUCUGAGAGGAAGGUCCCCCACACUGGAACUGAGACACGGUCCAGACUCCUACGGGAGGCAGCAGUGAGGAAUAUUGGACAAUGGAUGGAAAUCUGAUCCAGCCAUGCCGCGUGAAGGAAGAAGGUCCUAUGGAUUGUAAACUUCUUUUGUAUGGGAGACAAUAAGGCCUACGAGUAGGUUGACGAGAGUACCAUACGAAUAAGCACCGGCUAACUCCGUGCCAGCAGCUGC